CACAACAUGCCAUAUACUAGGGGUAUAGCUUUGGGAAACUGAAGGUAAUCCCCCAUAACAUUGCGAGAGGGCAUCUGAUUGCAAUUAAAGUUUCGACGGUAUAUGAUUGGUGUGCGUUUGAUUAGCUAGUUGGUAGGGUAACGGCCUACCAAGGCGACGAUCAAUAGCUGGCGUGAGAGCGCGACCAGCCACACUGGAACUGAGACACGGUCCAGACUCCUACGGGAGGCAGCAGUAGGGAAUAUUGGACAAUGGGCGAAAGCCUGAUCCAGCCAUGCCGCGUGAUAGAUGAAGGCCCUCUGGGUUGUAAAUAUCUUUUAUCUGGGAAGAAACACCUCGUUUCUACGAGGCUUGACGGUACCAGAGGAAUAAGCACCGGUUAACUCCGUGCCAGCAGCCGGGUAUACGGAGGGUGCAAGCGUUAUCCGGAUUAUGGGUUAAGGGUCGUAGGGAUCUGUAAGUAGUGUGAAUUAAUUAUGGAAAUUGCCAUGAUAUGAGUUGAUGUGGAAUAUGAUNAAGGNACUGUCAAGCGGGGAAAAUGGCCUCAGAUCAUCACUUANAAACCCCCAAUUGGCCGAACGGGCGGUAACUCACAGCCAC
rnacentral:rRNA from 1 species